UUCAGGUGGGGCAAGUGUACCAUUACGGUGUAAUAUGGUUGUAUGGAAAAAAAUUAAGUUGUCCAAAUUUAACGAACACAGCAAUUUUCAGUUCCUUUUGGGGUCCUGAACAACUCCCCAAAGUUUGGGAACGAUUGUUUUUGCCUUCCUCACUUUACUGAGGAAAGGCUAUAAAAUCACUCGAAAAACGAACUUUUUAGUUAGACCUCCUAGACCUACCUUCAUUUGUACAUAUCGACUCAGAAUCACCAGCUGAGCAAAUGUCUGUGUGUUUGGCUGUAUGUAGACAUGUGUACCAAAUCAAUGUCACUGGAAUAUCUUGUCACAGGCUCAACCGAUUUUGGCCGGAAUGGUUUUAAUCGAUCCGUCUUAACGUCCCCUAAGUUGCUAUUUAAAUUCAUGCAGUUUUAUCAUUUUUUUAAAAAGUUAUGUUAAAAAAACUGUUUCAUAUUAAAUUAAAAUUAUGGUAAAAAGGGUGGUUUUUUCAUGAAACCCUCACAUGUUAUAUAUUUUUAGAAAGCAUAUGAGAAGACCUUUCUUGUGGAUUAAGAAUUUUCAAGAUCUGACUUACCUAUCUAAACUUACAAGCAGUUUAAAAAAUGGUCUGAAUUUACAUAACCUCAAAUGGUCCCAUCUGAUCGCCACGAAAAAAGCCUUGUAGAGGGAUGCCAUUUUCCUGAAAGGCGGUGUCUGUAUAAUCUUGACAAAAAGUCUGUAGGAAGUCUAUUUUUUUAUCUCGUCGCUUAUUUUUAUUAGGACCUCUUAGGUGCUGCGAUCACGUUAGGGGAGAUCCAUAAACCAUGUGGACACUUUAGGGGAUUGUAAUCACUCUAUAAAUGAGAGGAAGGCACCAACCACCUAAAGGUGGAUUAAGUAACGUUUUUUUAGCUAAAAUAACCCAGGCUACAGUUUCCACUUUUUCAUUGUUUUCGAUAGAAAUUCAAUUAAAAAAAAUACAGCCCAUUCUGAAUAUUUUGCUUUUUUACUGAAUAGUAAUUUUGAGUCAAUUUAUUUUUGCAUUUUGCAGCUCCUUAUAAAAGCAGAGUACUAUUGUUAAUUUGAUUUGGUUAACCGCGGUGAAUUUUCUUGAAAUAAUUCGAACUGUCAAAAAUCCACCAAAGCAUCUACCGGUGGAUACUUUUCUACCACAGUUUUUUGUGUGAUCAAUGUGGUAGAUGCUUUGGUGGAUUUCUGACAGUUCGAAUUAUUUCAAGAAAAUCCACCGCGGUUAACCAAAUCAAAUUAACAAUAGUACUCAGGUUAAAAUUGAAAAAGUACACACUUCUUCAAAUCACCAAAAUUUGUAAAAUUUUGACAAAUUUUGUCGAUUUUGUAAGAUUUUUGUCUGCCAAUUAUCCAAAUCUGAACAAUUUCAAAUAAAUUUGAAAAUCAAAUCCCAUUUUGACCACACGCACAUUGCAAAUAAUUCAGAUUUCGUUACUAUCAAACCAACUCAGAACUGAGUGGGUGUAUGGCAAAUUGUCAGAUUUGGGAUGAGUUUUACUCAGAAUUGAGUUGAAACUGUGAUUCAUUCCUAGCUAGGGUACAUUGUCAGGUGUUACACAAUUUUAUUUGAUAUUUGCGUGGAGGUUCGGGAUUUGACGAAAUCUAAUGGUACGUUCGAUUGAAGAGCCGGUGCCAGUUUUGGUUCAAAAUUAGAAACUGAAAAAAUAUCGAGUGCGGCACUAGACUUUCAGUUCCAAAAUGGUGGCGAAACUCGUGCGCGAGUUUCUUCAAAAAAAAAAAAACACUUUGACAGCACUGAGUGCGGCACUCAGUGCGGAACUAGCCUUCAAUCGAACAUACCAAGCAUUUUGUUGUCAUUUUUACACUGCUAUAGAAAAUACUGAUUUUGGGUAAAACAAAACUAUCAGUAUGAUAGGCCGGGUUGUCUUCAAUGCCGAUAUCUUUUGGAAAAGCUGAACAAUCAUAAAAUAAUAAAGUUAAACAGUGGCCAAUAAAAAAUAUUCCGUUUAGCGAAAGAACAAAAAAGAUGUUAUUGGAUGGAACGGGUUGAGCGAAGUAAAACGAACAAAAUAUUGCCUAAAUGGAUUACAAAACUAGAACUAUUGAAAAUCAACUGUUGACGGAAUUGUGAUAGGGUUAAAAAUAAACAAACUGCAACCAGAAGAAGAAGAAAACGAAAACAAUACAUUUUAAUGCUCUUUUCUCAAUGUAAAGGUUCAUGCGGCUUGAGUCGUUAUGUGAUUAAAAAUGUUAUUUUACUCAAAAUUAAAAUGAAAGAAAGAUUUGAUAAUAAUGGCCAGAAAGACCCUGUUAUCGUCACGUGCUUUGUUUAACGAUGCUGUUUAAACCACAGCGUUAACUUCUUUUCGAUUAACAUUGAACAACCUUGACACAUCCAAAGGUUAAGCAGGUUACGUUCAGUUUAAAACAGCAACUGUCAAACUGAGCACGUGAUGCUAAAGGUCGCUAGUAUUAGAAAUGUGGCACAGUUAGGCCGACGUGAUAGAAAAUUCAAUACUCACAAACGAUUGACAAAUGGAUUGAUCGUUUUCAAAGUAAUAAAACUAGUUUAGAUUAAAAGGAAAACCCCGAAAAAAAACACAGCCACAGAAACACCUUUAGACAUUUUCUAUACAUCCUUGUAAAAUAGAAUCAAAUCA